rnacentral:lncRNA from 1 species
UCUCGUUCUUGCUGCUUGGGAAGAGCAGGAAGAGGUUAUAGCCUUUUAUUUUACUUAUUAAAUCGCAAAAAGAUAGGCCGAAUCGAACAAAUCAAUUUGCCUGUGCUAUCGGGCUACUCAGCUUCAAAUCCUUCACGCUCCUUGGGAUGCCUUACAGUUAAGGAAUCUCGAAGAUGAAACUAGACUCCUUUUUUGCAGUACCUUCGGUUGAGGUGUAUUUAUGAUUUAAU